GCUGUGUCCGUGGGUGUCUGGAAUGCUCAGGAAGGCGGUUUGUUGGCCACAUUGUAUUGGAGUCACUCGCAGAUUCCUGCGGGCCUAGGACGUAUAAAGAAGCCAGAGAACAGCCUUGUUUUAGGAAAAGAGAGAACUGCUUCUUCUAAAGCUGUCAGGAAGCAAAACAGUUUCUGGGGGUCGAACUUACUUUUCCACAGUUUCUUAACAGAGGCAGGGAUGUUUGAAUGCACUUUUAAAGUGUUUAUGCUCUAAUUGUUAGUGAUAACCAGUCCUACCAGGGUUCUAGAAGCACCUGAGAAUGAGUCUGAAUGUGCAUUGCUGUUCCCCAUGUCCCGCCUCCAGGAAACGUCUUGUGUGGGACCUAGGAAUCCGGAUUUUUAAUCCUGGGUGAUCUUCAUGCAACCGGUGCAGCACCACCACCCAGGAAGUGAUGUUCAGACCCUCCCCACCUGGCACCGUGGCCUCUGCGGGUGUCCACGUGCUUGCUGCGCAAGGCUCCCCGAGCUGCCCGGGGCCCACACCAGCCAGGCUGCUAACGAGCCUGCUCCAGGCCGUUCCUUCGGAUUGGAAUGAACCCCUGCAAGAGGCUGAGAGGCCGGAGGCAUUCCUGGCCUUGGGGGGAAUCUGAUCUCCCUUAGAAGCGUCUGACUGCGAACCUUCUGGGCCAGGAAGGAGCUUACUCCCUGACGUAGAGCCCACUUUUCCACAAGGAAAGCAG
rnacentral:lncRNA from 12 species